GAUGAACGCUGGCGGCGUGCCUAAUACAUGCAAGUCGAGCGAAUGGAUUAAGAGCUUGCUCUUAUGAAGUUAGCGGCGGACGGGUGAGUAACACGUGGGUAACCUGCCCAUAAGACUGGGAUAACUCCGGGAAACCGGGGCUAAUACCGGAUAACAUUUUGAACCGCAUGGUUCGAAAUUGAAAGGCGGCUUCGGCUGUCACUUAUGGAUGGACCCGCGUCGCAUUAGCUAGUUGGUGAGGUAACGGCUCACCAAGGCAACGAUGCGUAGCCGACAUGAGAGGGUGAGCGGCCACACUGGGACUGAGACACGGCCCAGACUCCUACGGGAGGCAGCAGUAGGGAAUCUUCCGCAAUGGACGAAAGUCUGACGGAGCAACGCCGCGAGAGUGAUGAAGGCUUUCGGGUCGUAAAACUCUGUUGUUAGGGAAGAACAAGUGCUAGUUGAAUAAGCUGGCACCUUGACGGUACCUAACCAGAAAGCCACGGCUAACUACGUGCCAGCCGCCGCGGUAA
rnacentral:rRNA from 1 species